rnacentral:rRNA from 1 species
AGAUUGAACGCUGGCGGCAGGCCUAACACAUGCAAGUCGAGCGGUAGAGAGGUGCUUGCAUCUCUUGAGAGCGGCGGACGGGUGAGUAAUGCCUAGGAAUCUGCCUAGUGGUGGGGGAUAACGUUCGGAAACGGACGCUAAUACCGCAUACGUCCUACGGGAGAAAGCGGGGGACCUUCGGGCCUCGCGCCAUUAGAUGAGCCUAGGUCGGAUUAGCUAGUUGGUGAGGUAAUGGCUCACCAAGGCGACGAUCCGUAACUGGUCUGAGAGGAUGAUCAGUCACACUGGAACUGAGACACGGUCCAGACUCCUACGGGAGCAGCAGUGGGAAUAUUGGACAAUGGGACGAAAGCCUGAUCCAG